AGUGAACGCUGGCGGUAGGCCUAACACAUGCAAGUCGAACGGCAGCACAGUAAGAGCUUGCUCUUACGGGUGGCGAGUGGCGGACGGGUGAGGAAUACAUCGGAAUCUACUUUUUCGUGGGGGAUAACGUAGGGAAACUUACGCUAAUACCGCAUACGACCUACGGGUGAAAGCAGGGGAUCUUCGGACCUUGCGCGAUUGAAUGAGCCGAUGUCGGAUUAGCUAGUUGGCGGGGUAAAGGCCCACCAAGGCGACGAUCCGUAGCUGGUCUGAGAGGAUGAUCAGCCACACUGGAACUGAGACACGGUCCAGACUCCUACGGGAGGCAGCAGUGUGGAAUAUUGGACAAUGGGCGCAAGCCUGAACCAGCCAUACCGCGUGGGUGAAGAAGGCCUUCGGGUUGUAAAGCCCUUUUGUUGGGAAAGAAAAGCAGCAGGUUAAUACCCCGCUGUUCUGACGGUACCCAAAGAAUAAGCACCGGCUAACUUCGUG
rnacentral:rRNA from 1 species